AUUCCGUGUGUCCCUAAAAACAGGUGUUCUCCCACUGCCCCUGUUUGCUUCCUGCCAUCAUGAUACUAUGGGGUGACCUUAUUGUGGCCUUCCAGUACCUAAAGAAAGUGGGGAGGAGCCUUGGACAAGGGUAUGGAAUGACAGGACAAGGGGUGAUGUUUUAAACUAAAAGAGGGUUGAUUGAGACUAGAGAUAAGGAAGACAUUUUCUACUGUGAGGACAGUGAGGCCCUGGCACAGGUUGCCCAGAGAAGCUGUGGCUGCCCCUGGAUCCCUGGAAGUGUCCAAGGCCAGGCUGGAAGGGGCUCUGAGCAACCUGGGCUGGUGGAAGGUGUCCCUGCCCAUGGCAGAGGGUGGGACUGGAUGAGCUUUAAGGUCCCUCCCAAACCCAAACAAUUCUGUGAUUCUGUGAACACAAUGAAUCCUGCAGAAACGCAGGAUAAAUAGGGAUAUGCAGAUCGUGUUAAAUUCCUGCCAGUCACUGCAGGUCCAGGGACAGGAGGAACAGUAUAGUUUUCCCACUGGGAUUUGUUGACUCUGGAUUUAUUGCCCAGGCUCAGAGGGCAGGGAGGCACCACCUGGUUCUAUGGUGUAAUGGUCAGCACUCUGGACUUUGAAUCCAGCGAUCCGAGUUCAAAUCUCGGUAGAACCUGUCGGCAUUAUCCCGAUUUUUCCCUGUUCCAUGGGGUCACGUUGCAGCAGGGAUGGAACUGCCCGGGAGGGAACUCAAUGCCAAAGGCUUUCCUUGACCUGAUCCUUUAUCAUGCUGCUCCCACUUUUCUUCACUGGGAUGAACAGCUGUACAUUGGACAAAAAGGGCAGGACCUUAAAUAAUUGUUAUAACAUUUUAAUUGGAUGUUCCAUUAUAUUUCACUGAUGUUUUACACAAAGUCUUUUUUUGGGGGGAGGAAAAAAAGGCAUUUACACUGUGGAAAACUUGCCUUUCAGUAGGUAAAUGUGCUGAAUUUGGACAUUGUUCUUCAGCUGCACCCAAGUACUCGCUUGGAAAAGGGGGGCAGGAAUGCCGUGGGUUUAGAGCAGGGAUGAUGUCACAGGUGGAACUCUGCACAGUUUAAAUGGGUAUUCCCAGUGCUUUGCUGACACACACCCUCAGUGUUUGCUUUUCAGUUCCAGGGUUGCUCAGGACACCAGAACACCAUCUCCCCUCCUGCAAACCUCUCCUCACUAGUCACUGGUUUACACAGCAACAGGAACAUCCCUGCUCUGUGCCAGCAGCUCCUCUUCCUCUGGCCAGACUACAGGCGAGUUGUCAUUGAGGUCAAAGAAAUCAAGAAUUCCUUACCUUUACCAUAAUGAAAGCAAACAGAAACUAUCUUACUGCCCAUUUAAAGAAAAAUAAGCUGCUGGUUAUUUACAUAUACCCUGGAAAAAAUCACUAAAUCCUGGCUUGAGGACACCAGAUCCACGACCCACCAUCACACCAGGCCUGACAACCUCAGACAAGAGAGCACCAUCCUGCUUUGAGGUGCCCUGGGGAGGUAACAGUUACCACCUUUGCAAAGCUACUUCCCAAAAACCUCACCACCUAAAAGCUUUCCUAUGUCAACAGUAGGGUAGCACUUAAAGGCAUUACUUGCUUUUAGGGCCACUCUUGAUGUAUUUGGCCUCCAUCCCUCCAUGUAACAUUUAUCUCUGCGCCUGAAACAUUUACACUCUGAAUAAAAUGGAGAAAUAAGCA